rnacentral:rRNA from 1 species
GACGAACGCUGGCGGCGUGCUUAACACAUGCAAGUCGAGCGGUAAGGCCCUUCGGGGUACACGAGUGGCGAACGGGUGAGUAACACGUGGGUGAUCUGCCCUGCACUUCGGGAUAAGCCUGGGAAACUGGGUCUAAUACCGGAUAGGACCACUGCCUGCAUGGGUGGUGGUGGAAAGCUUUUGCGGUGUGGGAUGGGCCCGCGGCCUAUCAGCUUGUUGGUGGGGUGAUGGCCUACCAAGGCGACGACGGGUAGCCGGCCUGAGAGGGUGACCGGCCACACUGGGACUGAGAUACGGCCCAGACUCCUACGGGAGCCAGCAGUGGGGAAUAUUGCACAAUGGGCGCAAGCCUGAUGCAGCGACGCCGCGUGAGGGAUGACGGCCUUCGGGUUGUAAACCUCUUUCAGCACCGACGAAGCGCAAGUGACGGUAGGUGCAGAAGAAGGACCGGCCAACUACGUGCCAGCCGCCGCCGUAACAC